AUUGUUUAUUUUAUAAUUUUUUGUAUACAUAUAAUUCGCAGAAAAGAAAUCAAAAAAGUUAAUAUCUAUAUUGUUUAUUACAUGUACCUGUAAAUUAAUACUGUAAACCAAAUUUUAUUCGCAGCGUUUUUUGUGUGAACUACUUGAGAUGAACUAGGUCGCGGAGGCGCAUUUAAAUUGUGAUCAAACCUCAUUUACACCUGUGUUGUUAUAUAAUCCAUAGAGCAAGGACUCUUUCAUGGCGAGAACUAUUCGCGACAAUGAGGCUUUCACAAACCUUCUGAGAAUCUCGAGAAGGCGAAUUAAAGUUGGUUUACAGUAAUGUUUUUAGUUUGUUCCUAUUUCCAUGCGUUACUCAAUUAAUUGCAUGUAUACACAAACCACUGCAGUUAUGAAAAUAUAUAUCUUUUUAAAAGAAAAUAAUGAUUCAAUGCUUAAUUAAAUCUUCCUUUUGGGAUGCCAUGUCCAUAAAAAACUAUAAUUAGAUCGAGGGUGUGUUGAGGAUAGUCGGGCGAAACUUCAAUUUCAAUAUCGAUUGGUGGCUUCCCUAUGCUUACAACUUAUCUUCAUGCAUGAGCCAGGCUAUAUGAAUAGAAAAUAUUGUAUGACUGUACGUUUGUCUUCUGCAAUUUACAUGUACAUGGAUUGUUAUUGUGAAAAAGAAUACUCCAAUGUGGAACAUUUUUCCAAAAUAGAAUUUUUUUAGUCGGAUGUCAAUGUUAUAUAACUGCUUGCUUGAUUAACAUAUUAGCCUGUUCUGUAUUGUAUCACAAUUACUACGGUACAUUAAGUUGUGAUUUUCUUGCCAUCAUGUCCGUGUUGUAUAUCAAUUUCCAAAAUACCGGUUUUAUUUAUUAUAUAACAGUUACUGUAUCUAUUUUGCUUAUUGUGUAUGCAGCUACAUGUAUUUUACAAAUUAUUUUUGCCAUGUAAAAUAAUUUUCGAUUUGGAAAUAAAUAAAUUUUAAAAG
rnacentral:sRNA from 1 species